GCGAUCAUACCAGCACUAAAACACCAGAUCCAAUCAGAACUCCAUAGUUAAACGCGUUUGGGCGAGAGCAGUAUUAGGAUCAGUGACUUCUUGGGAAGUCCUCAUGUUGCACUCC